rnacentral:rRNA from 1 species
AAAAAUUUGCUUCGCAAAUUUUUCACUUUCAACUUUCAACUUUCAACUUUUAACUUACACUUUGUUCGUGACCAAAGUGUUGGGGAGUGGCGAACUGGGUAGUAACAGGUAGGUAUGAACUCAAGAGUCAGGAAUAGCUUAUCGAAAGAUAAGGUAAUACUUGAUAUCCCUUCGGGGGAAAGAUUUAUCGCUCUUGAAUCAGCCUGCUUAGUAUCAGCUUGUUGGUGAGAUAAAAGCUCACCAAGGCUAUGACGCUUAGGGGAGGUGAGAGCCUGACCCCCACCAUUGGAACUGAGACACUGUCCAAACUCCUACGGGAGGCUGCAGUCGAGAAUCUUCCGCAAUGCACGAAAGUGUGACGGAGCGACGCCGCGUGAUUGAUGAAGCUCUUCGGAGUGUAAAAGUCUUUUAUAGGUGAAGAAGUUUAUUGACAUUAACCUAUGAAUAAGAGGCUGCUAACCUCGUGCCAGCAGCAGCGGUAAUACGAGGGCCUCAAGCGUUAUCCGGAAUUAUUGGGCGUAAAGGGUGUGUAGGCGGUAUAGUUAGUCUUGUGUUAAAGACUCAGGCUCAACCUGAGGAAUGCAUAGGAAACGGCUAAACUAGAGUGUGUGAGGGGUGAAUGGAACUCAUAGUGUAGGGGUGAAAUCCGUUGAUAUUAUGGGGAACACCAAAAGCGAAGGCAAUUCACUGGCACAUAACUGACGCUGAGACACGAAAGCGUAGGUAGCGAAAGGGAUUAGAUACCCCUGUAGUCUACGCCCUAAACGUUGUUCACUAACUUUUCGGAGUAUCGACCCUCUGAGAGGUACAGCUAACGCGUUAAGUGGACCGCCUGGGAAGUACGAGCGCAAGCUUAAAACUCAAAGGAAUAGACGGGGACUCGCACAAGCGGUGGAUCACGUGGCUUAAUUCGACGAUCCACGAAGAACCUCACCAAGACUAGACAUUUAGCUUAUGUUUUCCUAGAAACAGGAAAUCCAAACGGCUAAACAGGUGUUGCAUGGCCGUCGUCAGUUCGUGACUUGAGUUGUUCUCUUAAGUGAGGAAACGAACGUAACCCUUAUCGUCUGUUAUAUUUGUCAGACGAGACCGCCCAGCACUUUGAGCACAAGCUCAAAGUAAGUAUAAAGUUUAUAAAGUUCAUAAAGUAAAAAGUUAGAAAAAUUUGCUUCGCAAAUUUUUCACUUUCAACUUUCAACUUUCAACUUUUAACUCACUUUGUUCGCUUGCGAACAAAGUGUUGGGAGGAAGGUGGGGAUGACGCCAGGUCAGCAUGACCCUUGAUGUCUUGGGCUGCUCACAUGAUACAAUGGGUGUGACAACGGGUCGCGACGAGGUAACUCUGAGCCAAUCCUAUAAACACAUCCCCAGUUCGGAUUGAGGGCUGAAACUCGCCCUCAUGAAGUUGGAAUCGCUAGUAAUCGCAGGUCAGCUAUACUGCGGUGAAUACGUUCUCGAGUCUUGUACUCACAAAUAACUGAGCCCGGCAGCUAUACAUAUGCCAAAUCGUUAAAAUCGAUUCCUCUGUUUCUAGAACGGAACAGAGCGUAGUGAACGGAUAGGG